AUUGAACGCUGGCGGCAUGCCUUACACAUGCAAGUCGAACGGUAGGGGGAGCAAUCCCCUGAGAGUGGCGAACGGGUGAGUAAAGCAUCGGAACGUGCCCAGUUGUGGGGGAUAACUACUCGAAAGAGUGGCUAAUACCGCAUACGACCUGAGGGUGAAAGCGGGGGACCGAAAGGCCUCGCGCAGUUGGAGCGGCCGAUGUCAGAUUAGCUAGUUGGGGGGGUAAAGGCCCACCAAGGCGACGAUCUGUAGCUGGUCUGAGAGGACGACCAGCCACACUGGGACUGAGACACGGCCCAGACUCCUAAGGGAGGCAGCAGUGGGGAAUUUUGGACAAUGGGCGCAAGCCUGAUCCAGCCAUGCCGCGUGCAGGAAGAAGGCCUUCGGGUUGUAAACUGCUUUUGUCAGGGAAGAAAUCCCUUGGGUUAAUACCUCGGGGGGAUGACGGUACCUGAAGAAUAAGCACCGGCUAACUACGUGCCAGCAGCCGCCGUAAAAC
rnacentral:rRNA from 1 species